rnacentral:rRNA from 1 species
UACAGAGGUCUCGAGCGUUGUUCGGAUUCAUUGGGCGUAAAGGGUGCGUAGGUGGCGAGGUAAGUCGGAUGUGAAAUCCCGGGGCUCAACCCCGGAACUGCAUUCGAUACUGCCUUGCUUGAGUACUGGAGAGGAGAUUGGAAUUUACGGUGUAGCAGUGAAAUGCGUAGAUAUCGAUAAGGAAGACCAGUGGCGAAGGCGGAUCUCUGGACAGUUACUGACACUGAGGCACGAAGGCCAGGGGAGCAAACGGG